UUUCACUUAUACUUUUUUGGUAUAUAUACAUAUAUAUAAAGUUUUCAUGAUAUGGCUCUUUUCAUAUUGCUGGUUGAAGGAACUCAACUCUGCCAUGAUGUCAUAGAUCCUAAAAGGGCCCCAAAGCUGUAUGGAGUCUGUUGAUAUUGUACUUUGACAUGGCCUGUCAUCAUUCUAAUGUGAGGAUAAGUGAAGUAGCUCAGGUCCACCUUCUGCAAAGUCAUGGUUCUUCAGCAUCUAUCAAAAAAAAUUUUUUUUCAAAUGCUUCAUACUUAUUACACUCAAACAGUGCCUGUGAAAUACCAAAAUAUUUAUGACUCGUUUGAAAUUUGGGACCUUAUUAAUAGCUUUAUUAUAUUGGUUUUCCUGUUAUUAGUCUUCUGGCAUUCCUAUAUCCAUCUGCAUAUUUUUGAAGCAAUUCUCAG
rnacentral:lncRNA from 1 species